GGCAGGCCAGAUGAUGCAACUCACUUUAUACUCUCUUAACGCCAACAUGCUGACUGACAGAAACCUUGACUAUAAGGUGGGUGUGCGUUUGGAGUGAUUUGAAGCCAGGAGCUGCUCAAAGUCCAGCUCACUGGAAACCCCGGGAACCAGCAGCUCCACGAAGGCAUGGUCUGCAGGAAAAUCCCCCGGCCACUCCAUACUGCUCUGAGAGAGAGAGAGAGAGAGAGAGAGAGAGAGAGAGAGAGAGAGAGAGAGAACCUUACUGUAUAACAUCAGAAAACACUCCACAUGACAUGUACCAAUUCAUAAAGCAAAAUAAUGAGAAAGACAGCACUGGUGUCGGGAUUAAAUAAACAAUUUAGGCUGACACCAAAUAACAGAGAUUUGGAGUGUAUUAUCACAGCUGUCUGUCAAGAAACUGAACAUACACACACACACACACGCAGUUAUGUGGCGUAUAAUAAUUUGAAAUCUCCUCAAACAGGAGUCUUAUUAGGAGGCACAAAUCAAUUGCACCUGAAACAAAAGGAAGCUUAUCAUCAACAAAAACAGUUUCUCCCAGUUGCCCUCAUCUUUCCUCAGACAAUCAUUUUGCAGUAGGAGGACCCCUGAUCAAAAUGCAUUGCCUCAGCCGCCAACCAUUUCCACCUACUGACACUACAGUGAGUUAACAAA